UGCUUUCCAACGCCUCUAACCCUCCAUCUCUCUCUAAACUCAUCGCCUUCUCUUUCAGAGAGUAAACAUCACAAAGUCGAUCUGUUUCCUGGCACAUGAUCGGCUUCAAUAAACUAUCACCUUUUUCAUGUAGUUGUAUUGCAUCUAAAGUAUGUCGAGGUUGGAUUUUGGUUAGUACUUCUUCGCAAGUUUUCGUUGUUUCUUUGUCCGAUUGGGCUAACCGGUGGCUCUCUGUCCGAUAACAAUGGGUGUCCGACGGACUUGGUGACGCCGACGGUAACCAUCACCAAGGUGGUUGAAGGCUUCAUUUUUUGUUUUCCCUUAUCUGAGCCCUAAUUUUUUUGUUUUCUUUUAAUUUAUUUGAGGAUUCUAUUGACCGAAUGGUUGAUGAAGAAUCAACAAUUGUGUGUUGUUUCGUUUGUAGAUGGCAUUGACGUCUGUUUUAAAUCCUCUAAAUCACAAAACGAUCCUCUGUGCUUGAAAUUUCUAUUUUGC
rnacentral:lncRNA from 1 species